UACGAAGGGUGCAAGCGUUACUCGGAAUUACUGGGCGUAAAGCGUGCGUAGGUGGUGAGUUAAGUCUGUCGUGAAAGCCCCGGGCUCAACCUGGGAAUGGCGAUGGAUACUGGCUCGCUAGAGUGCGGUAGAGGAGAGUGGAAUUCCCGGUGUAGCAGUGAAAUGCGUAGAGAUGCGGAGGAACACCGAUGGCGAAGGCAGCCCCCUGGGCUGACACUGACGCUCAGGCACGAAAGCGUGGGGAGCAAACAGG
rnacentral:rRNA from 1 species